AUCCCCAGCACUGCAGAAACGGAGGUGGUGACACUGGAAUCCUAGCCCCAGGGAAGUAGAAGACAGGAGAGAGCAGAGGGUCCCAAGAAGAGGGUCAUCCUUGGCUACUUAGCUUCGGGUCUGCAAAGCUGCACGAAAAAGGAGGCAUGGGAAAGAGGAGGAAGAAGAGACAUGGUGGCCAUAGAUCUCCUCCAGUGUGGAGGAGGAUAGCAGUCCUCGGCUGCGCUGCCCACCAUUCUAACCAGCCCCUCCUGCCCACGCAGCACCGCGUGCACACCAUCCUGAGUGCAGACCUAGUGAUGGUCCUGAAGAGGGGCGCGAUCCUGGAGUUCGACAAGCCGGAAAAGCUUCUCAGCCAGAAGGACAGCGUCUUUGCCUCCUUUGUCCGCGCGGACAAAUGACCAGCCAGCGCCAAAGUGCCACCCCACACCUCACCUGCUUGCCUAGGAUUUCUUACUGUAAAUCACUUGUAAAUAAAGAAACUAAUUCUUUGCU
rnacentral:lncRNA from 1 species